GCGGGUGUAGUUCAGUGGUAGAACAGUAGCCUUCCAAGCUACAUAUGUCGGUUCGAUUCCGAUCACCCGCUCCA
rnacentral:tRNA from 1 species